CGUCUAUAUACGUAUAGCAUAUCAAUAAGCGGAGGAAAAGAAACUAACAAGGAUUCCCUUAGUAACGGCGAGUGAAGCGGGAAGAGCUCAAAUUUGAAAUCUUCAAGGUUUUACCUUGACGAAUUGUAGUUUAAAGAAGUGUUUUCUGUUAGAGAGUUUGGUAAAAGUUCUUUGGAAUAGGACAUCAUAGAGGGUGAGAAUCCCGUAUUUGACCAUUAUUUUCAGCUGUGUGAUACACUUUCAAAGAGUCGGAUUGUUUGGGAAUGCAGUCCAAAAUGGGUGGUAAAUUUCAUCUAAAGCUAAAUAUUGGCGAGAGACCGAUAGCGAACAAGUACCGUGAGGGAAAGAUGAAAAGAACUUUGAAAAGAGAGUUAAACAGUACGUGAAAUUGUCAAAAGGGAAGCGUUUGACACCAGUGUUGUUUUUCCGAAAAUCAAUUAAGAGUGGCUUGAUUUUGUGUUGUAUUGACCUUAUCAGCUUUCUUCACUCUUUUUCGAGUCUUUCUUAAUGCACUUUUCGGUUAACAAGUCAACAUCAAUUUCUUUUGUUGUAAAAGGGUAUUUGGAAGGUGGCUUUCUUUUCGGAGAAAGUGUUUAUAGCCUUAUACCUCUACAAUCGGAGAGAUUGAGGUCUGCAGCGUAGAUCCUUCGGGGCUAGAUACACUUGUGCUAAGUUAUAGCUUUUCAUAGACAACUUGUUGACUAUGUUUAGUCAUGUAGCUUACCCGCUUGUGCUAUUUUACCUACGCUUAGGAUGUUGAGUCAUCACACAUCUCU
rnacentral:rRNA from 1 species